AUGAUUUUUCAGUACUUUACGUCUAUCUAAGCAAGGAGAAAGAAAAGAAAGGAUUAAUAGACACUGAAUCUUAAAAAAAAAAAAAAAAAACAAAAACCCAUGAGUCUUCCUAUUCUUGUGUAUCUCUGGGUCUUCUAUAAGUUCUGAGAAGAUAAAGCCUACAGAGCUAGAGAUUUAAGCGGUUGGUUUUAAAACUUCAUCUUUUUCACUGGCAUGAAGUUUAACUUGUCCUCUGAGAUUGAAACAGUUAACAGGAGGGAUCAUGAUGGAGCUAGUUCUGCAUGUAUUUUCUGGUUACUGUUAGUUGACUGUUGGAAGUGGACCUAGAUUUGUUCAGGAUAUGAAGUAGGCAUGAUUCAUCCAGUUAUUUUGAAAGGGUUGUCUGUCCCAGUUCCGGGAGAGAUGCUGUUGUUUGCCUGCCUCGCUAAGGAGGAAGGCAGACGUGAAGCGGAUUGCAUGACACCCUGAUUACUGGUCUUAGAUAAGGAGUUGAAGCUGCAGUGUCAACCUAAGGGCAUCCGAGCAAAAGCUGUGGGGAAUGGGAUUUGGAAAUACCAGGAAGCAAACUCCUUGUCUGAAGUCCGUUCAACUCUGGGUUCCUCUAGGGCUGACACGGCAAUGUUUGUGUAAAGAGUGAAAAGAGCCACCAGUCACAUGAAUGUUUGCUUUCAGCAAUGAUGAGUAGGACCAACACCAAGGCUGUUAUCAUCUCAAACAAGUAUUUCUACGGGAAAUACAAAGCAAUGGCAAAGUUACAUGAAUUUUGGAGCACAAAAAUAUUGCAAAAUUGGAAGAAAGCAGGUAAAACCAUUUCCAUUAAAUUGUACUGCUUUGGGUUAAAGAUUUUAUCAAAGUUAGAUAUAAGGGUAAUGUUAUUAAACAGAGAAACAAGAAUUAAAGCCCCAACCCCUAGCCUGGGAACCUCCAUGUGCCACGGGAGCAGCCCUAGAAAAGGCAAAAAGACCCCCCCAAAAAAGAAUUAAAACCCUAAAUUAUGCCAUUUCACAUGGGGCAGCAUCAGGUUUUCCCCCUGAGGGGAAGGACUGCUUUAUACACAGGAUAGUCAUUCAGGAAGAUGAGUUGUAAUCAGAAGUUGUGAUGUACAUUCUCCUAAGAAAAGGUG
rnacentral:lncRNA from 1 species